rnacentral:rRNA from 1 species
CAUGCUGUAAACGAUGGAUGCUUGUUGUUGGGAGUGUUAACCCUUUCAGUAACGAAGCUAACGCGUUAAGCAUCCCGCCUGGGGAGUACGGUCGCAAGAUUAAAACUCAAAGAAAUUGACGGGGACCCGCACAAGCAGUGGAGCAUGUGGUUCAAUUCGACGCAACGCGAAAAACCUUAUCCUGGUCUUGACAUCCUUGGACCGCCUACGAAAGUAGGCUUUUCUCGCAAGAGAACUAAGAGACAGGUGC